CAUCCCUAGACUACUGCUCCCCAGAAGAAAUUGUGCAUUCAGAGGAACAAUUCCUUUCCUAGAAGCAAUGCAUAACUGCAGCAAUUCCCUUGAAGAGCAAAUGAACAGGAAGAAGUCUCACUGAACAGGAAGGAGGAGCCAUACUGCUAAAGGAUCAUGUAAUGCUGAGAAGAAUAAACCUCCUAUAUUUGGCUACUAAAGUGAACAUGCAAUGUUUUGUAACAUGCUAAGUACGCAGAUGUCAAGUGUUUGGCUGGUCUUUGCAGGGAUCAGCAAAAGCAAAGCACUACCGUUAUUCCUGGUCAUUCUAGAAAGCAGAUUAUUUAGACGCAAGUGGGAGAAAUGAAGCCAUUUCCACACUCCUUUGGGAUUAACAUGCAGUAGCUGAGAACACCUGACAUUCUCAGGCUGUGUUCUCUUUCCUGACUAAUCUUUAAUGAGGUAAUAGUGCGCAUUUUCCUUUCUCUUCUUCACAUGUGCAUCUUACCCUUACAGAGAGCUGUCUAAAGUAAGGGGGAAUGUGGCAGUGUGACUGACAUCUCCUUUCUGUGCAGAUGAGAGAUCUGCAUGUGGAGAUCACAGGCACACCAUCUGAUCCUGAAUAAGCAUGUGGGAUAUGACCCCAAGUGAAGAUAUGGGCUUUGGUCUAAUAAAAUUUCUUUUAACCUGCUUUGUAAUCAGAGCCUGUUUGAAAGUGUGCUCUGUGAUGGCUGGUUCAUGCUAAAAAGGAAAAUGAAAAAUGUUUUUGAGUAGUAUACGGGUUAAUGCUGGAAUUUUGUUUAAACAGCUCAGAACUGCUACAAGAACAGGGACUUACAGAUAAUAGGAAUAUAUCUUUACAGACAGCCCUACCUUUUAAAAACACACAUACGUGCUGUUGUUUCUAAUGAAGCUGGUGAUAUGGAUAUUUGUAAACAGAAGCAUUUAACUUAUGACACAAUAACUUAUUUUGAAAGGAAAAUAAUAUUCAAAUGAGAAUCUCCUAAAUAAAGUGUUGUUCUUAUGUGAUCACAUAAUAUUCACUUGAAACACCUCCAUCACUGUCAUGGUAGAAGUCUGUGAUUCACUGACAUCAGGAUUUUUCAAAUGUAAAAAAGAUUGCCUUUUAUUAUGGGUCAGGUUGACGGGAAGGGCAAAUUAUGGUGUUGCCUAAAGUGAGUUACUUGCUCAAUUUUGGCAUCAAUAGCCAGCAGAGGCCAGUGAGUGCUGCCCUAGAAAAGAGGGAUUAAGAUGAGCUAGCUAGGGAGGUUCCCACCUUAAGGUAGAGUUUAUAUCAUAUUAGACUAGAGAGAACAACUAAAUCUAAACCAUAAAAAUCUGUGUUCACUUGAGGAGGAGGUAGACCAAGGUUUGACCACAUGAUGCUACAGGCACAAGUGUGCCAAUCAUAAGGAAG